rnacentral:tRNA from 1 species
GCCUGGCAGGCUUAGUUGGUUAAGCAUCCAACUUCAGCUCAGAUCAUGAUCUCACAGUUCAUGAGUUCGAACCCCAUGUCAGGCU